GUGUCAGCCGCCGCGGUAAUACGUAGGGACCGAGCGUUGUCCGGAAUCAUUGGGCGUAAAGAGCGUGUAGGCGGCCCCUUAAGUCCUGCGUGAAAUCCUGCGGCUCAACCGCAGACGGUCGUGGGAAACUGGAGGGCUAGAGUGCGGGAGAGGAGAGUGGAAUUCCCGGUGUAGCGGUGAAAUGCGCAGAUAUCGGGAAGAACACCCGUGGCGAAGGCGGCUCUCUGGAACGCAACUGACGCUGAGACGCGAAAGCGUGGGGAGCAAACAGGAUUAGAAACCCCCGUAGUCC
rnacentral:rRNA from 1 species